GCGGGCAGUUGGGGAGAGACCCACACAAAGCCGGUAAGCAGAAGGUUUGCCGCCAGCCUUCCAAGCUGAGCAGAGAAGGGUUCGAUUCCCUCUGCCCGCUCCA
rnacentral:tRNA from 1 species